AUUGAACGCUGGCGGCAGGCCUAACACAUGCAAGUCGAGCGGAUGAGGGGUGCUUGCACCCCGAUUCAGCGGCGGACGGGUGAGUAAUGCCUAGGAAUCUGCCCGAUAGUGGGGGACAACGUUUCGAAAGGAACGCUAAUACCGCAUACGUCCUACGGGAGAAAGUGGGGGCUCUUCGGACCUCACGCUAUCGGAUGAGCCUAGGUCGGAUUAGCUAGUUGGUGGGGUAAAGGCUCACCAAGGCGACGAUCCGUAACUGGUCUGAGAGGAUGAUCAGUCACACUGGAACUGAGACACGGUCCAGACUCCUACGGGAGGCAGCAGUGGGGAAUAUUGGACAAUGGGCGAAAGCCUGAUCCAGCCAUGCCGCGUGUGUGAAGAAGGUCUUCGGAUUGUAAAGCACUUUAAGUUGGGAGGAAGGGUUGUAGGUUAAUACCUUGCAGCCUUGACGUUACCGACAGAAUAAGCACCGGCUAACUUCGUGCCAGCCGCCGCAGUAACAC
rnacentral:rRNA from 1 species